rnacentral:rRNA from 1 species
AGUAACCUGCCUUGGAUGGGGAAUAACAGCUGGAAACAGCUGCUAAUACCGCAUAAUAUAUCUGGGUCGCAUGGCUCUGGAUAUCAAAGAUUUAUCGCUCUGAGAUGGACUCGCGUCUGAUUAGCUAGUUGGUGGGGCAACGGCCCACCAAGGCGACGAUCAGUAGCCGGACUGAGAGGUUGGCCGGCCACAUUGGGACUGAGACACGGCCCAGACUCCUACGGAAGGCAGCAG